UACGGAGGAUGCGAGCGUUAUCCGGAUUUAUUGGGUUUAAAGGGUGCGUAGGCGGUAUUUUAAGUUAGUGGUAAAACGUCGGGGCUUCACCUUGAUUGGCCAUUAAAACUGGAGUACUAGAGUACAGACGAGGUAGGCGGAAUAAGUUAAGUAGCGGUGAAAUGCUUAGAUGUAACUUAGAACCCCGAUAGCGAAGGCAGCUUACCAGACUGUUACUGACGCUGAAGCACGAGAGCGUGGGUAGCGAACAGG
rnacentral:rRNA from 1 species